GUGCUCACUUCUGCAGCACGUGUAUUAACAGCAGAACAGUACAGAGAAGAGCAUGGCCCCUGUGCAAGGACAACAUGAAAAUUCAUGAGGUUUCUAUAUGCUUU
ensembl:snRNA U6 U6 spliceosomal RNA